UGCAGUCGAACGGUAACAGGUCUUCGGAUGCUGACGAGUGGCGAACGGGUGAGUAAUGCAUCGGAACGUGCCCAGUCGUGGGGGAUAACGCAGCGAAAGCUGUGCUAAUACCGCAUACGAUCUGCGGAUGAAAGCGGGGGACCUUCGGGCCUCGCGCGAUUGGAGCGGCCGAUGUCAGAUUAGGUAGUUGGUGGGGUAAAGGCUCACCAAGCCAACGAUCUGUAGCUGGUCUGAGAGGACGACCAGCCACACUGGGACUGAGACACGGCCCAGACUCCUACGGGAGGCAGCAGUGGGGAAUUUUGGACAAUGGGCGCAAGCCUGAUCCAGCAAUGCCGCGUGCAGGAAGAAGGCCUUCGGGUUGUAAACUGCUUUUGUACGGAACGAAAAGCUCUGGGCCAAUACCCUGGGGUCAUGACGGUACCGUAAGAAUAAGCACCGGCUAACUACGUGCCAGCAGCCGCGGUAAUACGUAGGGUGCGAGCGUUAAUCGGAAUUACUGGGCGUAAAGCGUGCGCAGGCGGUUUUGUAAGACAGGCGUGAAAUCCCCGGGCUCAACCUGGGAAUUGCGCUUGUGACUGCAAGGCUGGAGUGCGGCAGAGGGGGAUGGAAUUCCGCGUGUAGCAGUGAAAUGCGUAGAUAUGCGGAGGAACACCGAUGGCGAAGGCAAUCCCCUGGGCCUGCACUGACGCUCAUGCACGAAAGCGUGGGGAGCAAACAGGAUUAGAUACCCUGGUAGUCCACGCCCUAAACGAUGUCAACUGGUUGUUGGGUCUUUGCUGACUCAGUAACGAAGCUAACGCGUGAAGUUGACCGCCUGGGGGAGUACGGCCCGCAAGGGUUGAAACUCAAAAGGAAUUGACGGGGGACCCGCACAAACCGGGGGAUGAAUGUGGGUUUAAUUUCGAUUGCAACGCCGAAAAAACCUUUACCCCACCUUUUGACAUGGGCAGGGAAGUUUUCCAGAAGAUUGGAUUCCGUUGCUCCGA
rnacentral:rRNA from 1 species